UCUGUCGAGCCGAGUGCCCGCGACAGUAUUGUGAACUAGUGCUAUAUUUAUUAUUACCUACUUAUUGUUUCUGUGAAUAGGAAGAGGAAAACACUGAAGUCUGAGUAUCAUCAGUACUUAUUUAACCUUGUAAGCCAUCUUCCAUACCAAGAAUGGGCUACGCCACCGAUAUUGAUGUUCCAGAAGAAAGACAGGAGCCAUCUGAUGCGGAAAUUGUUAAGGAACUAUCAGACAUACAAGGCUUGCCUGAAAAAUCCCUGAACGGUACCCAAAUAAGCCAUUAUCCGUGCCGCCAGACACGCCCGAAGGCGAUGAACAACUCAGCGAGUGACUCACCUGUACGGUGUACCUGACCUGUAAUGACAGGACAAAAGAACUUCCUCCCGUGCAACUUACCCAAGCAUCAUCGAUUAAGUCAUUACGUAUUAGAAUUACUUAUAGUGUCUACCAGUGGCGAGGGGCCAAAUUAUCCCAAACGGAACCCGACACAACAUAAUAUUGGUACUUAUACGCAUAAACGCUGUUUGCAAAUCGUUGUAAUAAUUAGACUUUACAUACAUUACGAAAGGGAAGCAGGAUUCGGGUUUUAGGGACCCUUUGCCACUGGUGUGUACUAUUGCUAUUGUUUCUGACAAAGUCACGGAAGAUAUAUCACCUACAGUUGCUAAAGAAGAACCGGUUCUAACAGAAAAAUCUUCUGAAAAUCCAUCUCCAACAGAAGCCACAUCAGUAAGCUCAGCAGCUAAAGAACCUUCACCGGAAGUUGUAGAUGAACAUCCUUCUUCAACAUCAUCGGCACUUCAAGAACCUUCAACGACUAUUGCAGUUUCAGUUAUUACUGUUGAAGAUUCAGUUUCUACGGCUGUGCCUCUAAAGACAACUCCUGAA